UACGAAGGUCCCAAGCGUUGUUCGGAAUCACUGGGCGUAAAGGGAGCGUAGGCGGCGUGGUAAGUCAGAUGUGGAAUCCCGGGGCUCAACCCCGGAACUGCAUCCGAUACUGCCAUGCUAGAGGAUUGGAGAGGUAGCUGGAAUUCUUGGUGUAGCAGUGAAAUGCGUAGAGAUCAAGAGGAACACCCGUGGCGAAAGCGAGCUACUGGACAAUUCCUGACGCUGAGGCUCGAAGGCUAGGGUAGCGAAAGGG
rnacentral:rRNA from 1 species